rnacentral:rRNA from 1 species
AAUUGCAGAAUCCCGUGAACCAUCGAGUUUUUGAACGCACGUUGCGCCCGAAGCCUUUUGGCCGAGGGCACGUCUGCCUGGGCGUCACGCAUCGUAGCCCCCCGCACCCAAACAAAAAAAACCAACACCAAUCCAUCUAUCGAAGCUGACUCGUGCUGACUCGUU